rnacentral:rRNA from 1 species
GAUGAACGCUGGCGGCGUGCUUAACACAUGCAAGUCGAACGGUAAGGCCUUCGGGUACACGAGUGGCGAACGGGUGAGUAACACGUGGGUGAUCUGCCCUGCACUUUGGGAUAAGCCUGGGAAACUGGGUCUAAUACCGAAUAGGACUACGGCCUGCAUGGGUUGUGGUGGAAAGCUUUUGCGGUGUGGGAUGGGCCCGCGGCCUAUCAGCUUGUUGGUGAGGUCACGGCUCACCAAGGCGACGACGGGUAGCCGGCCUGAGAGGGUGACCGGCCACACUGGGACUGAGAUACGGCCCAGACUCCUACGGGAGGCAGCAGUGGGGAAUAUUGCACAAUGGGCGCAAGCCUGAUGCAGCGACGCCGCGUGAGGGAUGACGGCCUUCGGGUUGUAAACCUCUUUCAGUAGGGACGAAGCGCAAGUGACGGUACCUAUAGAAGAAGGACCGGCCAACUACGUGCCAGCCGCCGCGGUAA